CUACGGGAGGCUCCAGUGGGGAAUAUUGCACAAUGGAGGAAACUCUGAUGCAGCAACGCCGCGUGGAGGAUGACACUUUUCGGAGCGUAAACUCCUUUUAUAUAGGAAGAAGAUGACGGUACUAUAUGAAUAAGCGCCGGCUAACUCCGUGCCAGCAGCCGCGGUAAUAAGGAGGGCGCAAGCGUUACUCGGAAUCACUGGGCGUAAAGAGCGUGUAGGCGGAUUAAAAAGUCAGAAGUGAAAUCCUAUAGCUUAACUAUAGAACUGCUUCUGAAACUCUUAAUCUAGAAUAUGAGAGAGGUAGAUGGAAUUUCUGGUGUAGGGGUAAAAUCCGUAGAGAUCAGAAGGAAUACCGAUUGCGAAGGCGAUCUACUAGAACAUUAUUGACGCUGAGACGCGAAAGCGUGGGGAGCAAACAGGAUUAGAUACCCGGGUAGUC
rnacentral:rRNA from 1 species